rnacentral:rRNA from 1 species
GAGUUGUCAUGGCUCACAACGAACGUUAGCGGCGCGCCUAACACAUGCAAGUCGCACGAGAAAGGGCUUCGGCCCCGGUACAGUGGCGCACGGGUGAGUAACACGUAGAUAAUCUUCCCUCGAGUGGUGGAUAACUCUCCGAAAGGAGAGCUAAUACAGCAUAAGACCACGGCUUCGUUGAAGCUGCGGCCAAAGCAGGCCUCUACACGUAAGCUUGCGCUUGAGGAUGAGUCUGCGGCCCAUCAGCUAGUUGGUAGGGUAAUGGCCUACCAAGGCUAAGACGGGUAGCUGGUCUGAGAGGAUGAACAGCCACACUGGAACUGAGACACGGUCCAGACUCCUACGGGAGGCAGCAGUGGGGAAUCUUGCGCAAUGGGCGAAAGCCUGACGCAGCGACGCCGCGUGAGCGAUGAAGGCCUUCGGGUUGUAAAGCUCUGUGGGGAGGAAAGAAUAAGGCUUGGCUAAUAUCCAAGCUGAUGACGGUACCUCCUUAGCAAGCACCGGCUAACUCUGUGCCAGCAGCCGCGGUAAGACAGAGGGUGCAAACGUUGUUCGGAAUUACUGGGCGUAAAGCGCGUGUAGGCGGCCCUGCAAGUCGGGUGUGAAAUCCCACGGCUCAACCGUGGAAGUGCAUUCGAAACUGCAGGGCUAGAGUCCUGGAGAGGAAGGUGGAAUGCUUGGUGUAGAGGUGAAAUUCGUAGAUAUCAAGCGGAACACCGGUGGCGAAGGCGGCCUUCUGGACAGUGACUGACGCUGAGACGCGAAAGCGUGGGGAGCAAACAGGAUUAGAUACCCUGGUAGUCCACGCCGUAAACGAUGAGUGCUAGGUGUCACGGGCUUUGACCCUCGU